GAUGAGUAUUUUGUCAAGAGAAAGCUGUAUCCAAAUGUUGAUUUCUACUCUGGGUUCAGAUAUAGCUUUGCAGGUCCUUAUCACACCGCACACAUCAUGGCAAGUCAAUCCAAACAAUUGAUGAGUCCAGAGAAGUUGGAGGCUGUUGAGAAAAAAAACCAUCUCGAAAUUAAACAUCUUCGAUCCAGCUGUAUAUGAGCAAGAAGAGGGAGCAAAAGGAUGUUGGGGAUUGUGUACUUUUGAAGUACCCAUAUGAUUUCCUUUUGUUUUCAUGCCAAGCGAAAGUACAUGGUUGAAAUGUAAGGGCAGUGAUUUCUACACCCCCCUUUGAGGCGCAAAUAUCUCACUUGCUGUAGCAAAAGAGGAUCAAUCUGAACUUCCGAAGCUGUUAGUGUAUGUGAGAUAAGUGCAGAAGAAAUAGAAGAUGG